rnacentral:rRNA from 1 species
AACGAACGCUGGCGGCAUGCCUAACACAUGCAAGUCGAACGAGGCCUUCGGGUCUAGUGGCGCACGGGUGCGUAACGCGUGGGAACCUGCCCUUAGGUUCGGAAGAACUCCCCGAAAGGGGUGCUAAUACCGGAUAAUGUCUUCGGACCAAAGAUUUAUCGCCUUUGGAUGGGCCCGCGUUGGAUUAGCUAGUUGGUAGGGUAAAAGCCUACCAAGGCGACGAUCCAUAGCUGGUUUGAGAGGAUGAUCAGCCACACUGGGACUGAGACACGGCCCAGACUCCUACGGGAGGCAGCAGUGGGGAAUAUUGGACAAUGGGCGAAAGCCUGAUCCAGCAAUGCCGCGUGAGUGAUGAAGGCCUUAGGGUUGUAAAGCUCUUUUACCCGGGAUGAUAAUGACAGUACCGGGAGAAUAAGCUCCGGCUAACUCCGUG